AGAGUUUGAUCCUGGCUCAGAUUGAACGCUGGCGGCAGGCCUAACACAUGCAAGUCGGGCGGUAACAGGGAGAAGCUUGCUUCUCCGCUGACGAGCGGCGGACGGGUGAGUAAUACAUCGGAACGUGUCCUGGAGUGGGGGAUAGCCCGGCGAAAGCCGGAUUAAUACCGCAUACGCUCUAUGGAGGAAAGCGGGGGAUCUUCGGACCUCGCGCUCAAGGGGCGGCCGAUGGCAGAUUAGCUAGUUGGUGGGGUAAAGGCUUACCUAGGCGACGAUCCCUAGCUGGUCUGAGAGGAUGAUCAGCCACACUGGGACUGAGACACGGCCCAGACUCCUACGGGAGGCAGCAGUGGGGAAUAUUGCACAAUGGGCGCAAGCCUGAUGCAGCCUUGCCGCGUGUAUGAAGAAGGCCUUCGGGUUGUAAAGUACUUUCAGUCGGGAGGAAGGUGUCAAGGUUAAUAACCUUGGCAAUUGACGUUACCGACAGAAGAAGCACCGGCUAACUCCGUGCCAGCCGCCGCGGUAAUUC
rnacentral:rRNA from 1 species